rnacentral:rRNA from 1 species
GACGAACGCUGGCGGCGUGCUUAACACAUGCAAGUCGAACGCUGAAGCUCAGCUUUUGUUGGGUGGAUGAGUGGCGAACGGGUGAGUAACACGUGAGUAACCUGCCCCCUUCUUUGGGAUAACGCCCGGAAACGGGUGCCAAUACUGGAUAUUCACUGGUCUUCGCAUGGGGGUUGGUGGAAAGGGUUUUUCUGGUGGGGGAUGGGCUCGCGGCCUAUCAGCUUGUUGGUGGGGUGAUGGCCUACCAAGGCUUUGACGGGUAGCCGGCCUGAGAGGGUGACCGGUCACAUUGGGACUGAGAUACGGCCCAGACUCCUACGGGAGGCAGCAGUGGGGAAUAUUGCACAAUGGGCGCAAGCCUGAUGCAGCGACGCCGCGUGAGGGAUGGAGGCCUUCGGGUUGUGAACCUCUUUCGCUCAUGGUCAAGCCGCAACAAUGGUUGUGGUGAGGGUAGUGGGUAAAGAAGCGCCGGCUAACUACGUG